GACGAACGCUGGCGGCGUGCUUAACACAUGCAAGUCGAACGGAAAGACCCUGCUUUUGUGGGGUGCUCGAGUGGCGAACGGGUGAGUAACACGUGAGUAACCUGCCCUUGACUUUGGGAUAACUUCAGGAAACUGGGGCUAAUACCGGAUAGGAGCUCCUGCUGCAUGGUGGGGGUUGGAACGUUUCGGCGGUUGGGGAUGGACUCGCGGCUUAUCAGCUUGUUGGUGGGGUAGUGGCUUACCAAGGCUUUGACGGGUAGCCGGCCUGAGAGGGUGACCGGCCACAUUGGGACUGAGAUACGGCCCAGACGCCUACGGGAGGCAGCAGUGGGGAAUAUUGCACAAUGGGCGGAAGCCUGAUGCAGCAACGCCGCGUGCGGGAUGACGGCCUUCGGGUUGUAAACCGCUUUCGCCUGUGACGAAGCGUGAGUGACGGUAAUGGGUAAAGAAGCACCGGCUAACUACGUG
rnacentral:rRNA from 1 species